rnacentral:rRNA from 1 species
CUACGGGUCGCAGCAGUGGGGAAUAUUGCACAAUGGGCGCAAGCCUGAUGCAGCCAUGCCGCGUGUAUGAAGAAGGCCUUCGGGUUGUAAAGUACUUUCAGCGGGGAGGAAGGGAGUAAAGUUAAUACCUUUGCUCAUUGACGUUACCCGCAGAAGAAGCACCGGCUAGCUCCGUGCCAGGCAGCCGCGGUAGUACGGAGGGUGCAAGCGUUAAUCGGAAUUACUGGGCGUAAAGCGCACGCAGGCGGUUUGUUAAGUCAGAUGUGAAAUCCCCGGGCUCAACCUGGGAACUGCAUCUGAUACUGGCAAGCUUGAGUCUCGUAGAGGGGGGUAGAAUUCCAGGUGUAGCGGUGAAAUGCGUAGAGAUCUGGAGGAAUACCGGUGGUGAAGGCGGCCCCCUGGACGAAGACUGACGCUCAGGUGCGAAAGCGUGGGGAGCAAACAGGAUUAGAUACCCUGGUAGUC